rnacentral:lncRNA from 1 species
GCACUGACGACACCGGACCGCGGACAGGAGACAGCGAGGAGGAGAGUAGAGUGGAGGAACAUGGCAAAUUGCAUUGUUGAUUUUCAUUUUCAAGCCUGAGCUCCGCUUCUCAUUCAGUGGCGUGGCAGUGUGGCAGUGCGGCAUCAUGGCACCCUGGCACUGGCGACACUUUGCCAAAUGUGUGCUUCCUCCUCCUCGCCUCC